rnacentral:lncRNA from 1 species
UGAAGACAGAGGCAGACAUGGGAGCAAUGUAUCUACAAGCCACGGAACUCGAAGGGUGGCUGGGAGCCAGCAGAAGCUAGAAAGACGCAAGGAAGGAGCCUUGCCUAGAGCCUUUGGAGGGGGCAUGGCACUGAUGACAACUUAAUUUCAGACUUCUAGUCUCUGGAAUGCACUCCAUCUGCAUCGUGCGAGCCCCCACAUUCAACUAGGAUGGAAUAUCGCAGUGUUGGCUUCCUGAGUGGCCGCUGAGCUGAGGGCCUGCAUGACAAACCCUGGAGGCGUUAUCACAGGCUCACCUUCAUGCCAGCUUGCAGGCCCUCAGUCAGAUUGACAGACAGCGCUAAGGAUGAGAACGUGGCCCCUGAAGAUGAUCCAGAUCUGUGAAAGUGACCGCAGAUGGGGUCUGCUCCAAGAUGACUUCAUGAGAGGAUGGCAAAGGAUCAUUUGUUACCAUUUAUGUUUACAAUGCAACUGCUGACACUGCAACUGACAAUAGGAAGGGAAUAUGAUGGAAGGAAUCUAGGAUUGAUUUUUUCUUUUUUUUUUCCUUCGGUCUUGGGAUGGAGAAAGGAAGGAGGUGAAGGUACAGUCAUGGAAGUCUCUGAUCAGGGUUGUGGAGCCCCUCUUCCUCUAAAUGGAUUAGAGAGGUCAGAAAGCAAUCAUCAGGACUUUGGAUCAAAUCCCUGCUCUGCAACAUUCUUUGAUGCCUCAAAAUAGUAAACAACUCUGAGUCUCCUCUAUUGUAAAAAUUGGAAUAAUAAUACCCAAUUCUCAAGCUUAUUAUGAGGAUUAAAUAACAGUGUCCGUGAGGAACACAGGCAAUGCCGGGCACCACAGAGUGACUGCUCAGGAGUUGGGAAUCACUCCUAAACUCUUCUCCAGGCUGCCGCAGAUCUGCCUCGAGACUCCGUUUCCGCGGUUUGUCCAGUUUGUCCACGGAAGUGCAGCCUGGAAUCUUUCCUGCUUCUGCACGUCAGAAAUCUACUCAACAAGCAGGUGCAUGGGAGAGAGGUGAGGCCAGGGGUUCUGGAGUCAGCAAGAGUGGCCUUUGGCAGCUGGAGCUAUUUGAACUCUAAGCCUGUAUUUUCCCAGCUGGAAAGUAGGGCUAAUAACAGCGUCUACUUCAUAGGAUUUUCGUAAGUAUAAAAUGAGAAAAUGCACAAUGCUUGGUAGUAAGCACUCAAUAAAUGGUAUCUAUUAACUAGUUUUAGAUAGAUACUAAAUAAGACCUCAACUCAAAUGCACCCUCCUCUCUGAAGAUUUUCCUGAGCACACAACCAAGAAGUAACUGCUCUCUGAGCUGCCGUAACACACUGCCUGUAUUUCUUUUCAGCAUGAAAUUGUCAUGCUGCCAUGUGUUAAAAUUAGUACCUUACAUGAGACACCCAUAUGAACCUGUGUACUCCUUGAGGACAGAGACUGCUUGUUGCAGCCGUGAGUUCCUCACUGUUGGGGGGGGGGGUGGUGAGGUACACAGUGGAGGUUCAAAAGCUGUUGUUGAACUGAACUGAAAUGAAGAAUUAAAACGGAAAACUCCUUCUGCCAAACACAGUAACUAGGAAGAGAGGUGCUAUGUCCCCCAAAUGACAACUCAAACAGCAAGAAGCAAAUCAUGUUUAACUGUCACCCUGACAGGGGUGGUUGGGACAUUGGUUAAGGGUGAGAAGUCAUCGAAUCACACAAGUAAAAAUUCUGUCUUACUAGAAAAAACAUUGAGAAAAAUAUUUAUGUGUUGGAAUGAAAGGACUUCAUCAACUCUUAGAGUUAGUGAUAAUUAAACACGUUGUUUGGAGAGUGAGAUGGAUGAAUUGGGCAAUUUUUCCCAGGUUUGCCAGAAAAGAGAAUCAAGGGCACGCAACUGCUGACAGAGUUUAACCUUUAAAUCGAACUUUAUUUACUCUCACUUAGCUAAAGACAAAGCAGUUUACACACUGUAUAUGUAGAAUACAUGUUAAUUGGUGGAUCGCUGACAACAAGUACUUACAGACUUUGCAGUUUGUAGUUACGUGUGCGGACAAGCAUCCCACGGACAGACCCGGAGAGGGGUGGAGAUGAGGUGAGGGCAGAAGAGCAUGGAAACUCAACCUCUGCAGGUUUCCACUCACACCACUUCCUUCUGAUCUGUGAAAUUCUAUCUUCUCCGUUAUCGUCCAAGAGACUGUUGCGCAAACGCCCCGCACCUGAAAGCCGUGUUGGACGAGAACUGUGGUAGAGGUUUCAGAUCUCAGGGCUAGAUAUGGCAGCACUCCUCCACGAAACAAAAGGAGACAGCAUCUCCCCAACUCCAGGGCUUCAUUAAAGGAGACCAAACACUUGCCACAGGCACCAAACUCGUGAGCAGGAUGCAGUACGGGAGAAAGGGAGUGUUUAUUCGUGCACAUACGCAGCCUCUGUCCUAAAUCAGGGCCAACUGGGUGAUGGUAAACCCGAGUAAUGCAGUGUUUCUCUGAUGCAAUCCUGCCUCCUCAACAAUGUCAGUGAGCCACUUACAAGUUAUGGUGAAAACCAAUAUUUUUAAAAACUAAAUUUAGUGUCUAUCGUUGGCCUGAAAGGUCCAGAGGAUACUGGUGUUGGUGGGGAUGGUUCUAAUUCCUAUGUUCCUGGAAGUCUAUCGACUUUUGGCCAUGCCUGGGAUCUGCCUUACACUCAUGGAGAAUGUCAGGCAAGUUGCUUAACCGUUCAGGUUUGGGAGGCGGUGGGCAGUUUCUCGACUGGUGAAAUGAGGUGGACGAUGUAGCUUAUCUCCAAGACGGUGAUUCUUAACAUGCUGAAGAUUAAGACAACUUUGAGAAUCUGAUGAAAACUGUACACCUUCUUUCUAGAAGAAAGCACAUACGUUAGACUUUUACCAUACAUUUUUAGGGAAUCUAUGGACACUUUAAAUCCAUCCACACACCGUGGGACCCUGCUCUAAAGGAUUCUUUACUAAUAUUUUAUGACUAUGAAUUCAUACCAGGAGGGGGUAACCCACAAGAGCACUGCUUCUGCCCUCAGAAACACUAACUUUAAAUUCAAUAUUCCAGAGAAUCUCACAAUAAAAAUGUUAAAAUCUGGUAUUUCCUGACUUUUAACCCAUGCAGUAUAAAAUUUUAAUUAACUUCAAAUUAUGUCUUCUUUUCUGUCUAUUUGUAAAUAAAAUGAAAUUUUUCUAAGGAAUCAAACUUUCUACUUUCAUUCUGAUUUGAAAGAUUCCUCCCCAGGAAAAAAUAUUUUGACCCCAG